ACGGGUGAGUAACACGUGAGUAAUCUGCCUCUGGCUUCGGGAUAGCCACCGGAAACGGUGAUUAAUACCGGAUACGACACAUCACUGCAUGGUGCGUGUGUGGAAAGUUUUUUCGGCCAGGGAUGUGCUCGCGGCCUAUCAGCUUGUUGGUGGGGUAAUGGCCUACCAAGGCUUCGACGGGUAGCCGGCCUGAGAGGGUGACCGGCCACACUGGGACUGAGACACGGCUCAGACUCCUACGGGAGGCAGCAGUGGGGAAUAUUGGACAAUGGGCGGAAGCCUGAUCCAGCAACGCCGCGUGAGGGAUGACGGCCUUCGGGUUGUAAACCUCUUUCAGCACAGACGAAGCGCAAGUGACGGUAUGUGCAGAAGAAGGACCGGCCAACUACGUGCCAGCAGCCGCGGUAAUACGUAGGGUCCGAGCGUUGUCCGGAAUUAUUGGGCGUAAAGGGCUCGUAGCCGGUUUGUCGCGUCGGGAGUGAAAACACCGGGCUUAACUCGGUGCUUGCUUUCGAUACGGGCAGACUAGAGGCAUUCAGGGGAGAACGGAAUUCCUGGUGUAGCGGUGAAAU
rnacentral:rRNA from 1 species